GCGGUGUCUCUCGUGGUCUUUUUGUGCACCAAAGCCAGGUUGCCUUAUCUUUAUUGUCCCGGUACAAAUUCAACCAGGAGGAGAGGGUAGUGAUCCAAGUGGACUUCUACAUAUCAAAGGGAUAGGUUUAAAGAAAGAGGAAGGAGCCAGGCAGUAGCACAGCGGUAGGGCAUUUGCCUUGCACGUGGCCAACACAGGAUGGACCCCAGUUCGAUUCCCAGCAUCCCAUGUGGUCCCUGUGCCUGCCAGGAGUGAUCUGAGUGCAGAGCCUGACGUUACCGGGUGUGGCCCAAAAACAAAAAAAAAAAAAAAAAAAAAAAAAAAAAAAAAAAAAAAAAAAGAAA